GAGUUUGAUCUUGGCUCAGGAUGAACGCUGGCGGCAUGCCUAACACAUGCAAGUCGAACGGGGUUUAUAUAACAGAACUCUCCGGAGGGAAGAUAUAUAAACCUAGUGGCGGACGGGUGAGUAACGCGUGGGCAACCUGCCCUGUACCGGGGACGAACAGCCAGAAAUGGCUGCUAAUACCGCAUAAGCCUGCUGUGCCGCAUGGCACAGCAGGGAAAACCACGGUGGUACAGGAUGGGCCCGCGUCUGAUUAGUUAGUUGGCAGGGUAACGGCCUACCAAGACAACGAUCAGUAGCCGGCUUGAGAGAGUGGACGGCCACAUUGGGACUGAGACACGGCCCAGACUCCUGCGGGAGGCAGCAGUGGGGGAAUAUUGCACAAUGGGGGGAACCCUGAUGCAGCAAUGCCGCGUGGGUGAAGAAGCACUCCGGUGCGUAAAGCCCUGUCAGCAGGGAAGAAAAUGACAGUACCUGGACAAGAAGCCCCGGCUAACUACGUGCCAGCAGCCGUA
rnacentral:rRNA from 1 species